rnacentral:tRNA from 1 species
GCCUGACAGGCUCAGUUCGUAGAGCAUGUGACUUUUGAUCUUGGGGUUGUAAGUUCGAGCCCCACGUUGGGCG